rnacentral:miRNA from 1 species
GUAUUUUAAGUCAUCUGUAUCU